AGCGAACGCUGGCGGCAGGCCUAACACAUGCAAGUCGAACGAAGUCUUCGGACUUAGUGGCGAACGGGUGAGUAACACGUGGGAACGUACCUUUUGGUUCGGAACAACUCAGGGAAAUUUGAGCUAAUACCGGAUGAGCCCUUAGGGGGAAAGAUUUAUCGCCGAAAGAGCGGCCCGCGUUAGAUUAGCUAGUUGGUGAGGUAAAGGCUCACCAAGGCUACGAUCUAUAGCUGGUCUGAGAGGAUGAUCAGCCACACUGGGACUGAGACACGGCCCAGACUCUUACGGGAGGCAGCAGUGGGGAAUCUUGCGCAAUGGGCGAAAGCCUGACGCAGCCAUGCCGCGUGAAUGAUGAAGGUCUUAGGAUUGUAAAAUUCUUUUACCAGGGAUGAUAAUGACGGUACCUGGAGAAAAAGCCCCGGCUAACUUCGUGCCAGCCGCCGCGGUAAUAC
rnacentral:rRNA from 1 species